GGGGGGGGGGCUAGGAUGAAAAAUUUUGUCCUGCCUAUUUAUUUUUCCCUCUAUUCGGUCUUGCCUUUUUUAUUUUUCACUCUAUUCGGUCCUGAUUUUUUUUUUUCAUUUAUCCUGACUUUUUUUUACAUAAAUUGUCAUCCUGCCUUUUUUUUUGCAAAUAAUCUCGUCCUGCCUUUUUUUUUACUCAAAACUCCUGUCCUGCCUAUUUUUUUCAAAUUUCAUCCUAGCCCCUCCAUAAAAAUCAAAUGGUAGCUCCCUAAUUUAUAUUUUUUGUUUUUCUUACAGAGACAGGAGCCCCAGGACGAAAACGGAUUCAGCAGCACAUUUUAAGUUAAGUAUAUUUUUAUUUUAAGUGACCCAUAGACUGUCAUCAAUAUUAUACUAAUUUAUACUUUUUGUUUUUCUUACAGAGACAGGAGCCCCCAGGACGAAAACGGAUUCAGCAGCACAUUUUAAGUUAAGUAUAUUUUUAUUUAAAGUGACCCAUAGACUGUCAUCAAUAUUAUACUAAUUUAUACUUUUUGUUUUUCUUACAGAGACAGGAGCCCCCAGGACGAAAACGGAUUCAGCAGCACAUUUCAAGUUCAGUAUAUUUUUAUUUUAAGUGACCCAUAGACUGUCAUCAAUAUUCUACUAAUUUAUACUUUUUGUUUUUCUUACAGAGACGGGAGCCCAAAGGACGAAAGCCGAUUCAGCAGCACAUUUUAAGUUAAGUAUAUUUUUAUUUAAAGUGACACAUAGACUGUCAUCAAUAUUAUACUAAUUUAUACUUUUUGUUUUUCUUACAGAGACAGGAGCCCCCAGGACAAAAGCCGGUUCAGCAGCACAUUUAAAGUUAAGUAUAUUUUUUUUUGAAGUGACCCAUAGACUGUCAUCAAUAUGUAACUAAAACAAAUGUCAAAUGUUUAUAAUCUUUGGAGAACUAGUUAUUGGAGUUGUUGAUCUUCAAUGACGAUUUUUACCAGUGAUCAGCAAGACAAGAUCUACAAAAAAAAAACACCAUGGCUUAAAUUUUAGUUGACCUGUUCAUGGAGUUAUUGCCGUUUAAAGAUGAUUUUUACCAUUUUUUUUUAGUUUUUGCUUAUUAUUUUGAAAAGAGUAUAAUGGAUACAAAUGUAGAUAGAAACUUUAAAAAGCAAAAAUGAUCAGCAGGACGGAUCUACAAAUAUGUCAACAUGACUGAAAUUGUCAGUUAAUUUUUUAUAGAGUUAUUGCCCUUUUGUAAUGAUUUUAACCAAGAAGUUGAAUAUGCAGGUUAGUGACACAGGCUCUUAAAUUAGAGCCUCUGUUUGGAACAGUUUUGAUUGGCUAAGCAUUUUACUUUCAGGCUAUCAUUAAUUACUGCUUGUCAGUAUGGAUUGGUGUUUAGAAUGGUCAUUGGAGCUGACUUUUAAGCGGAUGUGGUCAAGUGGUCAAGAGUGCUGGACAUGAGGCUAAGCUAUUGGUGCUGUAGGUUAUCAAAAGUCUAUUUGCAGAAGUUGCAGGAAAAGACUGUUAUCAUCACAGCAUACAGAUAUUACAGAUGAAAUACGGAUGGAAGAUUGUACUGAAACAGCUGAUGAAAUUGACCUUAGAUAAUGAAAGAAAAAGUGGAGGAUUGUUAUCAAAAAUAACAGCAGAAAAAAAAGGACUGACACCUUUCAAGAGUCUAAAGAUGAACAUGAAAUAUCAGCCUGUAGUAGUUGGAGAGAAAGAGAAGACAUAAUUUACAUAUCAAGCAGUUAGCAUUACAGCUUGUUCAUAUGGAUUAAUGUUAGGAAAGACUAUUGGAGUUGACUUUUAAGAUAACAAUUCCUGUGGCUGCAUGAAAUAAUUGUGUGAUUAAUUCUGUAACAGUGAAAGAAUUGUUAGAAUAAAGAUUCAGUAUACGUAGCAUACCAGUAGUCAGUGGGUUUUCAAAGAGUUACUGUUCCUUGCAUAGUUUCUUGGAUAUUAUAUUGGUUCGUUGCAUAGAUUCUUGUAUUUUAUAUUGUAAAUACGUAAAUAUUUUCCAGAUAUUGUUUUGAAAUUUACAGACUUUAAAUAGAAAUUUG